rnacentral:rRNA from 1 species
UACGGAGGGGGCUAGCGUUGUUCGGAAUUACUGGGCGUAAAGCGCACGUAGGCGGCUUUGUAAGUUAGAGGUGAAAGCCCAGGGCUCAACCCUGGAAUUGCCUUUAAGACUGCAUCGCUUGAAUCAUGGAGAGGUGAGUGGAAUUCCGAGUGUAGAGGUGAAAUUCGUAGAUAUUCUGAAGAACACCAGUGGCGAAGGCGACUCACUGGACAUGUAUUGACGCUGAGGUGCGAAAGCGUGGGGAGCAAACAGG